CAAGGAGCCCUCCCUCCCGGAACAGCGGCGCAGCCUGCCCCAGCCUCCUCCUCCCCGGAGCCCGCCUGGGCUUCGGGAAGCCCAGGAUCCAGACAUUGAACUGGGUUGUUAGGCUUGGUGGCAAGUGCCUUUACUCACUGGCCCCAGAAGUGGAUUGCUUUUCUCUUCAAUAUGACAAGUAUCACCGGCAAGAUCAGUGUCUGUAAAAUAAUUCUGACAGUGCCCACCUCACUGACAGUUGUUCAUCCUUGCAUAAAUCCACAAGCUCUGUCCUCUUAAGAGUGCCCAGAGCUCUCUUGUGAUCUCAGUACUGGAUCCUAGGAGUUGAGAAUUCAGCCAGAACAGAGGAGAACACACCUCAGCGCUGGACCUUGUGAGCACACCAGUUUUUGCUGCAAAUAAAUCAAAACUAAACUUAGUUGUUUAACAAAAAUAAAAUAAAAUCAGAAAACAGAAAACAA